rnacentral:rRNA from 1 species
GACGGGGGAUGCAAGCGUUAUCCGGAAUCACUGGGCGUAAAGCGUCUGUAGGUGGUGAUGCAAGUCACUGGUGCAAAACUCUGGCUCAACCGGAGGAAAGCCAGUGAAACUGCAUGACUAGAGUGUGGGAGAGGUAGAAGGAAUUCCCUGAGUAGCGGUGAAAUGCGUAGAUACAGGGAGGAACACCGGAGGCGAAAGCGUUCUACUGGAACACAAUUGACUAUGAGAGACGAAAGCUAGGGGAGCGAAUGGG